rnacentral:lncRNA from 1 species
GGGUUCCGCCGCGGGGCUGCGAGCGCGCGCGGGCCAGUUCGGGCCGGGGGCGGGAACCGGCUCGGAUGCUCAGGGACGGUGGGGGUGGCAGGGCCCACCGGCUUGAGGCUGCCUUUCCCGGCGUUCCCUCGUUUAUUGGCUCACUCUUCCUUUCAUCCAUCCAUCCUUUGCGCAACAAUAUUUGAUGGGAAGCCUGCCAAGGAAUUAAAUUUUGUUCAGACAUCCACUCUUCACCUUCCCAGCCCCUGUUUGCCUGUAACUACAAAGCAGUUUUCAGAUUACUCCAUUUGAUUCUCACAAGAACAUCGUAAAUGGAAAAGACUAGAAUUGCCCUGAGUUCACAGAUUGGUCAUCGAGGUCAAAGAAAUCAAGUGACUUCUGGAGGCCACACAGCUAAUAAACAGCAAGGCAAUGACUUGAACCCAGGUCUUCUGGUUCCAGAGGCAGGGAGAAAGACACAUGGGCAGGAGAAUACCACAUGGAGACACAGACACACGAGGGGAGGAUGCCUGCUGACCAUGGAGGCAGAAGUGGGACUGACGCAUCGAUCAGCUGAGGGAUGCCAAGCACUGCCAGCAAACACCAGAGGCUUGAUGGGGGCGAGUAUUCUCCUGUGCAGGUAUCAGAGGGAGCCUGGCCUUGCAGAUACCUUGAUUCCUGACUUCUGGCCUCUAAAAUGUCCAAUGUGAGUCAGGCAUCUCUCCUGGUGGCUGUCUUCCAUGUGGUGACUUAUGUAUCCAGGAUCCUUCUACUGUGUUUCUCCUCCAUUGCGAAGUCCUUCACUUCCAGCACCUGAGACAUUUUUUGGGUAUAUCUACAAGUGGCAUAUAUCACUUCUGCCCACAUUCACCUGGGUAGAACUCAAUCACAUUGUUUCACCUAACUGCAAGUGAGGCUGUGGAAUAUAGUCUCCCUAUGUGCCCAAGCAGAAGAAACAGGAUUGUGUGACUCUACAAUGUGUGAUUGCUCCUGGUGAAUCAAAAGGAUAAAGCUGCUGAUUCUGCAAUUUGAUAACCCAACCAUGCUGACCUCAAAGUGUAGUCAAUCCAUGAAGUUCCUCCCACCACAGCUCAUCCUGAACACUGCCCACCUGAGUCAUCAAGAAAGGUUUAAGUACAUUAUCUGUGCUCUGUUUAAUAUGUCCGUGAAGUGUGUCCUAAAUUUAGUUAUUUCUAGGACCUCUUUCUAGUUUGCAAGUAAGCCAGGUUCUACUGCUGUCAAGUGUUACUCAUGGCUAACUGAGGAAAAGGGGUUCAAAAACAUUGAGAAGACGAAAAGGAGGGAGAAGGCUGGGUUAAUGGGGACGGAGGUAAGGGGUGAGACCCCGGCUAAACAGUGAAGAUAAAAACAGACAUGUAAAUGAGAGAACCGGAAGAGAAGGUAAUGGUGAAAGUCAAUACGGGAAGGAAAGGGGUUGUAGGGGACAAACACUGAGAGGGCAAGAACUUGGAGUAGGUGAAACUAAGGUGAGCGAGGAGGCUGAAGAGAGGUCAGCUGCAGCGGGAAAGAGGGAAGGGCCCUUUAAGAGACACAUCAAGCCGCAGGUGUGGGCCACGAGGCUGGCGCAGGGCUGUCGCUUCACGCGCCGCAGACUCAUCCAGAAGCGCCUUGGGAGCUGCGGAGCCCUAGAGCCUCCAUCCGGGCAGCAAAGCAGCUCACGUGUCCCACCCGGGAAGGGCAGGAGUGGGCGAGGAAUGGUGGAGGGAAAGGAGGGAAAGCGGAGAAACAGGAGGGAGGGGGAAAGCUGCCGCUGCAGAAAAGAAACGAGUAAGCCCCUUUGUGCUUGGCCUGCGAGGUGUUUCCUUCCCGAGCAGACUUGAAGCUGUCACCUCUCAGUCUGGGUUUGGAAUAAAUACACUCGCCCACCGAGAGAUGAGGCGGCGCCUGGCCGCACCUGGGAGGUACCUGGUCGCACCUGGAAGUGCCUGGUCUCCCCUGGCAGGUACCUGGCCGCUCCUUUCCUGGAGCCAUGGGCACGGGCCCCUCCCGGACUUUCUACUGCUCUGCAGGAGGAUCCGAUGACUGUGACCGACUGGGACACCGACCCAGGAAUGCCUGGCGGGGUGGAGGGUCUGGAGACUGCAAUUGAGAUUUCACCUGAUUCUUGGCCACAAAGUUUCAAGGGAACCAGAGCUAAUGAAGACAGCAUGGAAGGGCACCGCCGAGACCUACCUGUGGGAGUCCACCUCACCCUCAAGAACAGCUACCAUUUUAACACAGAUGGAUAAACCCCAUGAAAGUGAACUUCCUAAAUGCAAAUUCUGAUCUUGAAGCCCCAGCUGGCACAUCUACUGGAGACCCUCCCAAGCAACAAGAUGUAGAUGCUUUAGAGAUAACAAACUAUACAAGUUGUCUUCCAUUCUUUCUCCUUCCUCUAUUUUCAACACGGAUAAAAUACAUAUAUAUUUAUCUUGCUGAGCUCAGUAGGAUUAUUUAGCUUUAUUUCCAUGGCUGCCUUUUCUUAAUGUAAUAGAAUUUCCAAUCGAGCUUAUUACUUCCUUCCGUCACAAGCCUGAGGUCCUUUCACACCCAUCCUGUCCUUGGCAAAGAUCUUUGGAAAGUAGCCUGGGACAUACCUAGUGGUAAGCCACCUGCUCUGGGUUGAGGGUGGAUCUAUUCUAGUCAGAGGCUUUGUGAUCUGGACAAAGGAAUUGAGUAUGUGGCUGUCAAACUGUCAGGCAAUACUAAAUUUGGCUGGCCAGCUGAAUUCUAGCAGAAAAUCAUGCAAAAUAAGGUUUAGCAAUUGGGGAAAAAUGGCCCACAGGAAAAACAAAGGGAUGAAAUUCCGUAGGACUACACGGCCAUAGAAUUCUAACUUGAGGGCUGCAACCAGCUAUGUGACCUUGUAGUACAAGGACCAGUCUUCAGAUACAAAAUAGAGUUUGGAGUUAAAGGGAUCUUUGAGAAGAAGCCAUUAUCCACCCCCUCCUCCCAAUUUUAUAUGCCCUAAGAAAAAGGUUUCUUUCAACUUAGAAAGGUAUGAUUCUUGAAGUGCACUUCCUCCGAGUUUUCCUGAGCCUCUCAAUCAAAAUGACUUGCACCUGCCCAUCCAUUCCCAUUGGCUUAUGCUCCUACCCUGCAGUAUUGGCUUCAUUAUGCCUCACCUUGUACACCUGUCUGAUUCCUCUCCUAGAUUAUCAGCACCUUGACAAUGGGCUCGUAUCUUGUGUAUCCCUGAAUUUCCAGGGACAAUGAUAGUGCCUGCCACAUAAUUGAUGGUCAAUAAAUUUUGGUUAAAUAGUAACAAGAAACUCCCAUUUAAAAAAUGUGUUAUCGUUAUCAUUCUCAAUCUGGAUGCUCUCCUCUAUACACAGUUUUAUUCAGUAACUCUCUUAAAAUUGUAAAGGUGAGAAAUUGAACACAGUUUCCCAGGUCUUUGAGCAGCACGAGAUACAGGGAGAAAAAAAAUGCUUUGUGCUUGAAUACUUUACUUCUGAUUGGAGAAAAUAAACACUGCACUGGAUUAUUUUUAAAGAUACAUCACAUUACGUUUGUGAUCAACUGAAAUGCUAAGAUAUUUGCAUGUGGAUUUCUGCCAAGCUGCUUUUCUCCCAUUCUUCAUGUGUGUGAUUGAUCUUGAAAUCAAAUGGUGGGACUUUAUAUAUUUUUUUGUUUUAACUCAAGGUAAAGUCUGACAAAAAUCACGUUAAAUUUGAUGCUGUCAGUGAAGACAUUAGCAAUCCUUCCUGGCUUAAGGUCACUGGCAAAUUUGAUAUACUUAUCUUUUGUGGGGUUUUUUUGUUGGUUUUUUUAAGACAGGGUCCCACUCUGUCACCCAAGUUAGAGUACAGUGGCUUGAAAAUGGCUCACUGAAGCCUCGACCUCCCAGGCUUAAGCAAUCCUCCCACCUCAGCCUCCUGAGUAGCUGGGACUACAGGCAUGCACCACAAUGUCUGGCUGAAUUUUUUUUUUUUUUUUUUUUUUUUGUAGAGAUGUGGUCUUCCUAUGGUUCCCAGGCUGGUCUUGAACUCCUGGGCUCAACCAAUCCUCCCACCUUGGCCUCCCAAAGUGCUGAGAUUAUAGGCAUAAGCCACAACAUGCAGCCGUCUUUUCCGUUUUUAUCCCACUCUUUGACAAUGUUGGAAGGAUUAGGACUAGCUCUAAUAAGAGUCACCCCCUUCAUAUUGGGUAAUCAACCAACAGCUAGAAAUGUACACUGAAAUACUACCAGACAUCCCUUAUUUUACCAUCUUAUCCACAAAGAUCUUACAGAUGACAUUUUAAAAACAUUGUCUAAAGCACAGAAAUACUUUUAAGCACAGUAGCCCCUGAAGCUUGCCAGCCAAAUAAUCUAUUAAAACUUAAAUGAAACAAGGCAAGUAUGGUGCAUGCGUAUGGUGGCUGUGGUACUGGUGGCAUGCUUUUUUAAAUUCUACAGUCUCCUCCAACCACCCUCUGCUUUUUAAGUAAGUCUAAUUUAGCAUAUGCCUUGGCAUUCAUAUUAGGCUGACUUUCCACGACUGGCAUCCC